UACAAGUAGGUUAGUAUCAUAUAAGGCUAAUAAUACGGUUUAGCUGUCUCUACCCUUUCGCCGUAAAUGAAAGGACUAUGAUA
rnacentral:ncRNA from 1 species